AUACGUAGGGGACAAGCGUUAUCCGGAUUUACUGGGUGUAAAGGGAGCGUAGGCGGCCAGCCAAGUCAGAAGUGAAAUCCCACGGCUCAACUGUGGGCGUGCUUUUGAAACUGGAGGGCUUGAGUACUGGAGGGGCAAGCGGAAUUCCUGGUGUAGCGGUGAAAUGCAUAGUUAUCAGGAAGAACACCGGAGGCGAAGGCGGCUUGGUGGACAGAGACUGACGCUGAGGCUCGAAGGCGUGGGGAGCAAACAGGAUUAGAUUCCCUGGUAGUCCGCGCGGUAAACGAUGAAUGCUGGGUAUUGGGAUCCAUAGGGUCUCGGUGCCGCAGUUAACGCAAUAAGCAUUCCACCUGGGGAGUGCGUUCGCAAGAAUGAAACUCAAAGGAAUUGACGGGG
rnacentral:rRNA from 1 species